CUGGCGGCAGGCCUAACACAUGCAAGUCGAGCGCUCACUUCGGUGGGAGCGGCGGACGGGUUAGUAACGCGUGGGAAUAUGCCCGGUACUAAGGAAUAGCCUUUGGAAACGAAGAGUAAUACCUUAUACGCCCUUCGGGGGAAAGAUUUAUCGGUAUCGGAUUAGCCCGCGUAAGAUUAGAUAGUUGGUGGGGUAAUGGCCUACCAAGUCUACGAUCUUUAGCUGGUUUUAGAGGAUGAUCAGCAACACUGGGACUGAGACACGGCCCAGACUCCUACGGGAGGCAGCAGUGGGGAAUCUUAGACAAUGGGCGCAAGCCUGAUCUAGCCAUGCCGCGUGAGUGAAGAAGGCCUUAGGGUCGUAAAACUCUUUCGCCAGAGAUGAUAAUGACAGUAUCUGGUAAAGAAACCCCGGCUAACUCCGUGCCAGCAGCCGCGGUAAUACGGAGGGGGUUAGCGUUGUUCGGAAUUACUGGGCGUAAAGCGCACGUAGGCGGACUGGAAAGUUGGGGGUGAAAUCCCGGGGCUCAACCUCGGAACUGCCUCCAAAACUAUCAGUCUAGAGUUCGAGAGAGGUGAGUGGAAUUCCAAGUGUAGAGGUGAAAUUCGUAGAUAUUUGGAGGAACACCAGUGGCGAAGGCGGCUCACUGGCUCGAUACUGACGCUGAGGUGCGAAGUGUGGGGGAGCAAACAGGAUUAGAUACCCUGGUAGUCCACACCGUAACGAUGAAUG
rnacentral:rRNA from 1 species